rnacentral:rRNA from 1 species
GUGAACGCUGGCGGUAGGCCUAACACAUGCCAGUCGAACGGCAGCACAGUAAGAGCUUGCUCUUACGGGUGGCGAGUGGCGGACGGGUGAGGAAUACAUCGGAAUCUACUUUUUCGUGGGGGAUAACGUAGGGAAACUUACGCUAAUACCGCAUACGACCUGCGGGUGAAAGCAGGGGAUCUUCGGACCUUGCGCGAUUGAAUGAGCCGAUGUCGGAUUAGCUAGUUGGCGGGGUAAAGGCCCACCAAGGCGACGAUCCGUAGCUGGUCUGAGAGGAUGAUCAGCCACACUGGAACUGAGACACGGUCCAGACUCCUACGGGAGGCAGCAGUGGGGAAUAUUGGACAAUGGGCGCAAGCCUGAUCCAGCCAUACCGCGUGGGUGAAGAAGGCCUUCGGGUUGUAAAGCCCUUUUGUUGGGAAAGAAAAGCAGCAGGUUAAUACCCCGCUGUUCUGACGGUACCCAAAGAAUAAGCACCGGCUAACUUCGUG